CCCUCGGACCCCUGGUUUCUGGACUUGCAUACCUGCUCCCACCUCACCAUCUUGCCCCCGGUCCUGACGUCCUCUGCCAGGACUUCGUUCACCUGUAGACCAGACCGUGACACCUGGCAAGACUUUAGAUGUUGGUUAGAUUCAUCAAUGUAUGUGCAACCAAACUCCAUAAUUCAAUUCCUUUGGUGGAAGGGGAAAGCAGAGAAGGCAGCUUGGAGUGGAAGACAGAUGUUAGCGGUGUGGAUAUUUCAGCGCGGCCGCAUUAUAAAUGGCAUGCAGCGAGGAUGAGAAACGCUCUCCUCACCUGAAAAGGACUGGGCCUGGGUACAUAAUGAAGGCUCCGGAGCAUGAAUGAUAAACAUUUUUCAUUUGCAAGCUCUGCUUAUGGGGCUGCACUUCCCAUUACCUUAAGCGAGGGGAAAGGGGUCUUGUUUUGGC